rnacentral:lncRNA from 1 species
GAUAGGUGGCUUUGAAUAUGUGAUUUAAUGCAAUAGUCCAAUUGUUUUCCUUGCUUUGGAGUAAGAAGAAUUCCAACUAUUUUCGACACAUGCAAAAAAAAAUUGUCAUUACGCCUUCUCCUCUUAAUGCAAUUUUAUAAACAAGUAGGGUUUGGCCCGCCCUACGGACGGGUGAAUAAACUUUAUAUAUUAGAAAAGUUAUAAAAUGAUUAUUUAUUUAUUUAUUUAUUUUUGGAGUUGGCUAUCCAUCACUUUGUCAAUUUUUUGAGUUUAGUGAUCUAAAAAGAAAAAAAAAUAGAAUUGACUCCUUUUUCAUUUUUUCUUGUGCUUUAUUCAAUACAACGUGAGA